rnacentral:rRNA from 1 species
CACGUAGGGUGCGAGCGUUGUCCGGAAUUAUUGGGCGGAAAGAGCUCGUAGGCGGUGUGUCGCGUCGGCCGUGAAAACCUGCAGCUUAACUGUGGGCGUGCGGUCGAUACGGGCAUCACUGGAGUUCGGCAGGGGAGACUGGAAUUCCUGGUGUAGCGGUGAAAUGCGCAGAUAUCAGGAGGAACACCGGUGGCGAAGGCGGGUCUCUGGGCCGAUACUGACGCUGAGGAGCGAAAGCGUGGGGAGCGAACAGG